GGUGUAUCAUGGAUUACAAUCAAAAGUUGUUGCUCCGCAUUGUUUUCGGCAGCGUUUCCAACCUAUGCGAGAGUGCCUUGACUCUAACAAUUACGACUAACCGUAUGCUGCUUUAGGUCCAACCGUCCAACAACAAGAAUGUGGUUACUAUGUGAUAUGAUUUCCCGCCUUUUAUACCUUGGAAUAAUACAAGACAUUACGAGCACUCACAGUUGGAUGCUAUGGUGUGUUUUUGGAUAAGUGCAAUUUCGAUUCAAAACG